GCGUCUUAAGGCUCAGCCUUGUGUUGAGAUUUCCUGGCAAAGGAACUCUCCAAGCAUCUGGGCGUCCGUCGUGCCUGAAUCGCAACACACUGCGUGUAGGGAUUUUCGGCAAGUCGCCAAAAACCGUCUA
rnacentral:misc_RNA from 1 species